rnacentral:rRNA from 1 species
CCUACGGGCGGCUGCAGUGGGGAAUAUUGCACAAUGGGCGCAAGCCUGAUGCAGCCAUGCCGCGUGUGUGAAGAAGGCCUUCGGGUUGUAAAGCACUUUCAGCGGGGAGGAAGGCGUUAAGGUUAAUAACCUUGGCGAUUGACGUUACCCGCAGAAGAAGCACCGGCUAAUUCCGUGCCAGCAGCCGCGGUAAUACGGAGGGUGCAAGCGUUAAUCGGAAUUACUGGGCGUAAAGCGCACGCAGGCGGUCUGUCAAGUCGGAUGUGAAAUCCCCGGGCUCAACCUGGGAACGGCAUUCGAAACUGGCAGGCUAGAGUCUUGUAGAGGGGGGUAGAAUUCCAGGUGUAGCGGUGAAAUGCGUAGAGAUCUGGAGGAAUACCGGUGGCGAAGGCGGCCCCCUGGACAAAGACUGACGCUCAGGUGCGAAAGCGUGGGGAGCAAACAGGAUUAGAUACCCCAGUAGUC